AUUGAACUCAGGACUUUGUGCUUACAAGGCAGGCGGCAGAACCACUGUGCUCAUCCCCAGCCCUUACAACUCUGGCCAGCAACAAGUGAGAAUUCUGGGUGCUAACCUUUGCCAUCAUUAAUCCAGAGUGUGACCAUUUUAUGGACGAGACAACUGAGGCUCAAAGAGAGGCUCAUGUGCUGCCUCUUGGUCGGUGAGGGAUUCUGGGGCCGUCUUGCCAGAAGCCUGCAUGGGCACCCUCCUCCGCCACCUCCCCUACACCCCCACCCUGCAUCCUGCCCCAUGCAGCCCGGCUGUGGGUUAGGGUAGGACAGCCAGGGUCACGUGGAGUUGGGUUCAGUGGGAGGAAGCCCAGGCCAAGUGCAGACGGCUGCUGAUUCUGGGGCUGGCCAGGAAAUCAAGGGUCGCCUCCGCCAUGGACUCACCGUCCCCGAGCCACCUCUGCCAAACCCAGCCCGCGGGCCCCUCCCCACUGACAUCCUACCGCUGGCACCUGGGGGCCAGCGGGCAGAAGGAGAAAGCGGCUGGGGGCUUCCGCUGGGGCCGCCUGGCCAGCUGGGGGAGGACACUGAGCCACCAGGAGCCCGUGGUGAGCAGCCAACCGGCCCCUCGCUCACGGUUCCGUCGGGUGCUCUCUGCACCCCCCAAAGAGUCACAGAGCAGUCGCCUCUGGCUCUCCAAGACGCUCUGGAGUCGGCACAAGAGCCCAUCACUGGAGCCGGAGCCGGAGCCGGAGCAGGAGGGCCCAGAGCUAGAGCUGGAGCCGGAGCCACUUGUCCCACAGAUCCCCGAGGCCCCCACCCCGGACGUGCCUGUGUGGGACAUCGGGGGCUUCGCCCUGCUUGAUGGAAAGCUGGUGCACAUUGGAGGCGAGGAGGAGGGUCCUCGGCGGCCCCGGAUGGGGAGCGCUAGCUCAGAGGGCAGCACGAAAGUGGUCAUUGGGAACCUCAGGAACCCAGAUCGGAUCUCCGGAAAGACGGAGCCAGAGGCUGCUGGCUCCAGCCAGGUCCACAAUGUUCGGGGGUUGCUCAAGAGGCUGAAAGAAAAGAAAAAGUCCAGGUCGGACCUGGGAUCCAGUGUCCCCCGGGAUGGCACCGUGGGCUCUAGGGAAUCGCUGGUCACACUCUCAGAGCUGGACCUGGGCGCUGAGCGGGACGUGCGGGUCUGGCCGCUGCACUCCAGCCUCCUGGGGGAACCCCACUGCUUCCAGGUGAUUUGGGUGGGCGGGAACCGCUGCUUCUCCUGUCGCUCGGCUGCUGAGAGAGACCGCUGGAUCCAGGACCUUCGUCGCCACUUCCAGCCCAGCCAGGUCAUUGCCGAGACUCUGCCUACUGUCUAGGCGGCCCCGCCUCUUUUAUGCCACCCAAACCCAGCGCCCAUCAUAACCGCUGCACCUUUGCGACCACUUGGAAAGGCCCCUUCCUUUUUUAUUUUAUUUAUUUAUUUGUAUUUUUAUUUUUGGUUAGUUGGUCGGCUUUGUGAGACAGGGCCUCGCUGUGUAGCUCAGGCUGGCCUCAAACUCCCGGCGAUCCUCCUGCCUCGGCCUCCCGAACGCUGGGUUGACGGGUGUGCACUACCACGUGCGGCAAGGCUGCACGUUUCUACUGCAGUGCCUGCACUGGAGCGCCAACGUUCCCCCAAAACUCACCCUACCCCUCUCCUGCCCCCAGGACAACGCGGAGCGGGAGGAGACGUGGCUGAGCGUGUGGAUACACGAGGCGAAGGGGCUGC
ensembl:lincRNA